AAAAUCCGUCGAAUUUUAAAUUCGUGAGGGUUCAAGUCCCUCUAUCCCCAAUAAAAAGCCCA
rnacentral:tRNA from 1 species